CAGUCGCCACGGGAAUACGUAGGUGGCGAGCGUUGUCCGGAAUCAUUGGGCGUAAAGGGAGCGCAGGCGGGCAUGUAAGUCUUUCUUAAAAGUGCGGGGCUCAACCCCGUGAUGGGAAAGAAACUACAUGUCUUGAGUACAGGAGAGGAAAGCGGAAUUCCCAGUGUAGCGGUGAAAUGCGUAGAUAUUGGGAGGAACACCAGUGGCGAAGGCGGCUUUCUGGACUGCAACUGACGCUGAGGCUCGAAAGCCAGGGAAGCGAACGGGAUUAGAUACCCGAGUAGUCCCUGUCUCUUAUACA
rnacentral:rRNA from 1 species